GAUGAACGCUGGCGGCAGGCUUAACACAUGCAAGUCGAGCGGGGGAGGUUGCUUCGGUAACUGACCUAGCGGCGGACGGGUGAGUAAUGCUUAGGAAUCUGCCUAUUAGUGGGGGACAACAUUCCGAAAGGGAUGCUAAUACCGCAUACGCCCUACGGGGGAAAGCAGGGGAUCUUCGGACCUUGCGCUAAUAGAUGAGCCUAAGUCGGAUUAGCUAGUUGGUGGGGUAAAGGCCUACCAAGGCGACGAUUUGUAGCGGGUCUGAGAGGAUGAUCCGCCACACUGGGACUGAGACACGGCCCAAACUCCUACGGGAGGCAGCAGUGGGGAAUAUUGGACAAUGGGCGGAAGCCUGAUCCAGCCAUGCCGCGUGUGUGAAGAAGGCCUUUUGGUUGUAAAGCACUUUAAGCGGGGAGGAGGCUACCUGGAUUAAUACUCUAGGAUAGUGGACGUUACUCGCAGAAUAAGCACCGGCUAACUCUGUGCCAGCAGCCGCAGUAA
rnacentral:rRNA from 1 species